UGAGGAAUAUUGGUCAAUGGGCGCAAGCCUGAACCAGCCAUCCCGCGUGCAGGAAGACGGCCCUAUGGGUUGUAAACUGCUUUUCCAGGGGGAGAAACUUGCGCACGUGUUGCGCAAUUGACGGUACCCUGGGUAUAAGCAUCGGCUAACUCCGUGCCAGCAGCCGCGGUAAUACGGAGGAUGCGAGCGUUAUCCGGAUUCAUUGGGUUUAAAGGGUGCGUAGGCGGACUAUUAAGUCAGUGGUGAAAUCCUGCAGCUUAACUGCAGAACUGCCAUCGAUACUGAUAGCCUUGAGUUUGGUUAAGGUAGGCGGAAUGUGUAAUGUAGCGGUGAAAUGCUUAGAUAUUACACAGAACACCAAUUGCGUAGGCAGCUUACUGAGCCGACACUGACGCUGAGGCACGAAAGCGUGGGGAUUGAACAG
rnacentral:rRNA from 1 species